AGUGAACGCUGGCGGUAGGCCUAACACAUGCAAGUCGAACGGCAGCACAGAAAGAGCUUGCUCUUACGGGUGGCGAGUGGCGGACGGGUGAGGAAUACAUCGGAAUCUACUUUUUCGUGGGGGAUAACGUAGGGAAACUUACGCUAAUACCGCAUACGACCUACGGGUGAAAGCAGGGGAUCUUCGGACCUUGCGCGAUUGAAUGAGCCGAUGUCGGAUUAGCUAGUUGGCGGGGUAAAGGCCCACCAAGGCGACGAUCCGUAGCUGGUCUGAGAGGAUGAUCGGCCACACUGGAACUGAGACACGGUCCAGACUCCUACGGGAGGCAGCAGUGGGGAAUAUUGGACAAUGGGCGCAAGCCUGAUCCAGCCAUACCGCGUGGGUGAAGAAGGCCUUCGGGUUGUAAAGCCCUUUUGUUGGGAAAGAAAAGCAGCAGGUUAAUACCCCGCUGUUCUGACGGUACCCAAAGAAUAAGCACCGGCUAACUUCGUG
rnacentral:rRNA from 1 species